rnacentral:misc_RNA from 1 species
GAACUUGUCAACGCUUGGAUUAUCGGACUUUCCCACAACCACAUGAUCUCAGUUAUAACUUCAACCAUGUAGAAUGAUGAGUUGUAGGGUUUCUGUCAUGUGUUGGAAUAGAGAAAUGCAUGAAUUUUGGUGCAGAGUUUGUCUCUUUUGGAUGUUUUAUGUUUCUGUAGUCUAUUGUAGUUUCUUUCCAUGGAGUAGGUAGAGAACGGAUCUCAUUCUACUUGGCUCGUCUUUUAUUUUUUUUGCAGG